rnacentral:misc_RNA from 1 species
GAAAUGCGAUACUUGGUGUGAAUUGCAGAAUCCCGUGAACCAUCGAGUCUUUGAACGCAAGUUGCGCCCGAAGCCAUUAGGUCGAGGGCACGCCUGCCUGGGCGUCACGCAUCGCGUCUCCCCCCACCACCCCGUGUGGAUGGGGCGGAGGAUGAUGGCCUCCCAUGCCUCACCGGGCGUGGAUGGCCUAAAUGAGGAGCCCCCGGUUACGAAGUGCCGCGGCAAUAGGUGGAAUACAAGGCCUAGCCUAGGACGAAAUCGUGGUCGCGCACAUCGUAGCUCUUGAGGACUCGCAGGACCCUUACUUGUUUGCCCCUAGGGGCGGCAAAACCGUUGCGACCCCAGGUCAGGCGGGGCUACCCGCUGAGUUUAA